rnacentral:rRNA from 1 species
UACGUAGGCAGCGAGCGUUGUUCGGAGUUACUGGGCGUAAAGAGUGCGUAGGCGGUUUUCUAAGUUUGGUGUGAAAUCUCCCGGCUCAACUGGGAGGGUGCGCCGAAGACUGGAAGGCUUGAGUAUGGGAGAGGUAAGCGGAAUUCCUGGUGUAGCGGUGAAAUGCGUAGAUAUCAGGAGGAACACCGGUGGCGAAGGCGGGUCUCUGGGCCGAUACUGACGCUGAGGAGCGAAAGCGUGGGGAGCAAACAGG